rnacentral:rRNA from 1 species
AACACGUGGGCAACCUGCCUGUAAGUUGGGGAUAACUCCGGGAAACCGGGGCUAAUACCGAAUGAUAAAGUGUGGCGCAUGCCACGCUUUUGAAAGAUGGUUUCGGCUAUCGCUUACAGAUGGGCCCGCGGUGCAUUAGCUAGUUGGUAGGGUAAUGGCCUACCAAGGCAACGAUGCAUAGCCGACCUGAGAGGGUGAUCGGCCACACUGGGACUGAGACACGGCCCAGACUCCUACGGGAGGCAGCAGUAGGGAAUCUUCCGCAAUGGACGAAAGUCUGACGGAGCAACGCCGCGUGUAUGAAGAAGGUUUUCGGAUCGUAAAGUACUGUUGUUAGAGAAGAACAAGGAUAAGAGUAACUGCUUGUCCCUUGACGGUAUCUAACCAGAAAGCCACGGCUAACUACGUGCCAGCAGCCGCGGUAAUACGUAGGUGGCAAGCGUUGUCCGGAUUUAUUGGGCGUAAAGCGCGCGCAGGCGGUCUUUUAAGUCUGAUGUGAAAGCCCCCGGCUUAACCGGGGAGG